UGCGUAGGUGGUCUUAUAAGUCAGAAGUGAAAGGCUACGGCUUAACCGUAGUAAGCUUUUGAAACUGUGGGACUUGAGUGCAGGAGAGGAAAGUGGAAUUCCUAGUGUAGCGGUGAAAUGCGUAGAUAUUAGGAGGUACACCAGUGGCGAAGGCGACUUUCUGGACUGUAACUGACACUGAGGCACGAAAGCGUGGGGAGCAAACAGGAUUAGAUACCCUGGUAGUCC
rnacentral:rRNA from 1 species